AUGUUGAACCUGGAGCUGUUCUCUGCCAGGGACGUCAUGGAGCCUGGCGUCAGAGCCCCCCACCUGAAGGAAAACAUUGCCUCCUUGGCUUGGCUCCUUGCAAAUACAGGCCAUGGCCAAUUCCCAGAGGUUUGCAGGCCCAAGCCAGAACGUGCAGAGGUGUUCCAGGGAACUAUUAAAGGUAUUGUCUUGUUGGGUGCAAACUACACAGUUCAUGAGCUGGUCCUGCCAAGGACAAGGUCAAGG
rnacentral:lncRNA from 1 species